rnacentral:piRNA from 1 species
UUAGAGGAUUGUGGAACCUUUAGUGG